rnacentral:rRNA from 1 species
GACGUAGGGUGCAAGCGUUAAUCGGAAUUACUGGGCGUAAAGCGUGCGCAGGCGGUCUGUUAAGACGGAUGUGAAAUCCCCGGGCUCAACCUGGGAACUGCAUUCGUGACUGGCAGGCUAGAGUAUGGCAGAGGGGGGUGGAAUUCCACGUGUAGCAGUGAAAUGCGUAGAGAUGUGGAGGAACACCGAUGGCGAAGGCAGCCCCCUGGGCCAAUACUGACGCUCAGGCACGAAAGCGUGGGGAGCAAACAGG